GGACUACAGGGGUUUCUAAUCCUGUUUGAUCCCCACGCUUUCGUGCCUCAGCGUCAAUCACUGUGUAGUACGCUGCCUUCGCAAUCGGUGUUCUGUGUCAUCUCUAAGCAUUUCACCGCUACAUGACACAUUCCGCAUACCUCCACAGUAUUCAAGACUAAUAGUAUCAAUGGCAGUUUCCGGGUUGAGCCCGAAGAUUUCACCGCUGACUUAAUAGCCCGCCUACACACCCUUUAAACCCAGUAAAUCCGGAUAACGCUCGCACCCUCCGUAUUACCGCGGCUGCUGGCAC
rnacentral:rRNA from 1 species